GAUGAACGCUGGCGGCGUGCCUAAUACAUGCAAGUCGAGCGAACAGACGAGGAGCUUGCUCCUCUGACGUUAGCGGCGGACGGGUGAGUAACACGUGGAUAACCUACCUAUAAGACUGGGAUAACUUCGGGAAACCGGAGCUAAUACCGGAUAAUAUAUUGAACCGCAUGGUUCAAUAGUGAAAGACGGUUUUGCUGUCACUUAUAGAUGGAUCCGCGCCGCAUUAGCUAGUUGGUAAGGUAACGGCUUACCAAGGCGACGAUGCGUAGCCGACCUGAGAGGGUGAUCGGCCACACUGGAACUGAGACACGGUCCAGACUCCUACGGGAGGCAGCAGUAGGGAAUCUUCCGCAAUGGGCGAAAGCUUGACGGAGUAACGCCGCGUGAGUGAAGAAGGUCUUCGGAUCGUAAAACUCUGUUAUUAGGGAAGAACAAAUGUGUAAGUAACUAUGCACGUCUUGACGGUACCUAAUCAGAAAGCCACGGCUAACUACGUG
rnacentral:rRNA from 1 species